GAGAACUUCGACGAGCGAAGCCGGGCCCUUUUGUCGGGAAGUUAUAAGUAGCUGUGUAGAUUGUGAAACAUUUCUUCUGGUGAUAAAGCAAGAAGCAUAUUGAGAAAGGCAGAUAUCGAUGUUCCCUGGGGCAAGUCUUUUAUUAUUCUUUUUCAAUUCUGUCUACAUAUGUGUUUAUGUGUGUGUAUGUAUAAAUGUGUGUGUGUAUUAGUUCCCUCUUCAAUAUGAAAUCGUAAACGCCUAGUAUGUGUUGUCCUUUCGGACGACCUCAAAUGGAACUGCCAUAUUGACUACAUUUGCAAGAAAGCCUCGAAG